GAUUUUACAGGAAAAGCAAGUUUAACAAGUAAAUGCAUAGAGAUAAAGGCUAAUGGCUACUUGAGAAAGGGGGUGUCAUGAGUAGUUUGCAGGUCAGUGCUUUGUUCGAUAAAGGGGUUCAGAAAGGAUUAUGCAGAGACGGCCAGUCUGGGUGUGUUUUGGCUCCCCAAAGUUCACCAAAAGUUUAGACCCAACAAUA